rnacentral:lncRNA from 1 species
UAUCAAUCCCGCGCGUUUCUUGGAAUAACUAAGUUCUCUCAGACACAGUUGCGUUUUUACUUAGAUAAAAAUAAACCGCAACGUGCGGUUAUCGACUGGUUCAACGAUUUGUCGUGGCUUUGUGGUUUUGUUAAAAACAGAUUGUUUUAUCUGUAUUACCAAGAGUAACUGUAUUAAUCGUUCCGUGUAACAUAUGAUCGACAAGUGUUAUAUUAUUUUCGACAAAAAUGAUAUAAAAUAAUAUUUCUUUCUUAACAUUCCGAGAAAUAUGUAUACUACGCGAAUGUAGAGGAAAAUUGUACAUAGAAGAAAAAAUUUGAACAGGAACAGCAUAACAUUGUUUCUUUCAUGUUCAUGCUUCGUUUGCUUACGAUUGCCCGUAUCGACGAUCCUAUCCGUCCAACAUAUGUAUAUGGUUAAAAUCGAAAAGUAGUUUUCAAUAUUGAUUUAAAAAUAAAUGAAGGAUUGAAAAGAUACAAUGUAAACACACUUGUUAUUGUCACUUAAUAUGUACUUCUGAAAUUACUCGUAAGCCAUAAUUUCGUACCAUCUAUAUAGGUCUGAUGAACAGCUCACCUUCUGAUGUUGACAUUUUGAAUUUGCAUAUGUCGUUAAGGGUGAAGGUGAAAAGUAUCGAAUAAUCGCGCACGUUUUGUUGAUCACGAAUGCGAUCAUCAAGAGACGAUAUUAAAAGAGAAAUCAAGGAAGAUGAAGGAAAUUCAGUUGGAAAAUCCUGAAAAUGGAUCACCGCAGUUUUUGUGAUAGGCUUCCGUCAAACGAGCUUUUCCAUCAUUUCGUGUACACGUACGAUGUAGACUGUGUGAAGUUGGUUGUACUGAACUAUACAUAUAACGAAACACAAAGAAUUCAAGCGUACGUCACCGCGUGCAUCGAUGCCAUUUAUUGCAUUUUUUCGUUUGUGUACGUCGCUGGCCACGUACACAAACAAGAUUGUAACGUGCGUGACGUAUACCUGUGCCAUGCGUACACAGUAACAGUAUGUAUCUUGCUAAUUGACCGGAAUUCUGUCUUGCUAAUUGACCGUUGCUAUCCCCACAUUUUUUGGAAGUAAUAUCUAUGAAGUGGAAUUCCAGCUUUUCAGAUUUUAAAAACUUGAUAUCUGAAAUCAAAUAUCAUCGUUUUACUAUCUCUUUAUACAUGCAGCCAGAAUUUUUAGUAUAGUCUUUUUCUUAUUAAUUAAUAUUCUUUUGUUUGUGUACGUCGCUGGCCAUGUACACGACAAGAUUGUAUCACGCGUGAUCGAUGUGAUGUAUAGCAAUACUUUGCUAAUUGGCUGGAAUUCUGCCUUUUUAAUAUUAAUUUUUAUUGAUUAUUAUAUAUUAUUUAUUAAUAUUUUAAUAACUGGCUGUUGCUAUCCCCACAUUUUUUUGAAGUAUCUCUGCGAAGUGGAAUUCCAGCUUUUCUCAAAACCUUUAAAAUCUAAAUAUCUGAAGUCAGGUAUUACUGUUUCAUUAUCUUGUUCAUCUUGACAGAUUUUUUGGUAUAGACUUCACAGGUAAUAAAUCGCUUUCACUAGUUUUUAUUCAAUGUCGUGAUAAUUAUGAUUAUUGAAUUCUUAUUUAUUAUAUUGUCAACGUAAUUUUUUACACGGUUCGCGUAUGUCCUAUGCAUCACCAUUUAAUUCUAAAAUUGCAAUAAAAUAUUUUAUGUAAAUAGUUAUAUAGUUAUUUGUAAUGUCUUUUUUCUGUCAGAAUACCUCAAAUGAAGGAAUUUCGAAUUAUAAGCUUUUAGUAUAAAUAUUCUUUUAUACAUACUUACCAGUUUAUUUUAUUAACCGAUAUAGAUAAUAUAAUAUGUUCAGCGUGUUAUAAAAUACAUGUAUAGUUUCUAAAUAAUUGGUAACAGUUCAAUAACUGGAGUAAAACGAACGGCUGUAUAAACGAACUUAUUCGAAUUAUUAAACGAAUAUUACUCUA